rnacentral:rRNA from 1 species
UACGUAGGGGGCAAGCGUUAUCCGGAUUUACUGGGUGUAAAGGGAGCGUAGACGGUAUGGCAAGUCUGAUGUGAAAACCCGGGGCUCAACCCCGGGACUGCAUUGGAAACUGCCGAACUAGAGUGUCGGAGAGGCAAGUGGAACUCCAUGUGUAGCGGUAAAAUGCGUAGAUAUAUGGAAGAACACCAGUGGCGAAGGCGGCCGCCUGGCCUGUUGCUGACGCUGAGGCACGAAAGCGUGGGGAGCAAAUAGG